rnacentral:rRNA from 1 species
GACGAACGCUGGCGGCGUGCUUAACACAUGCAAGUCGAACGGACCUUAUUUGGAGGAAGCUUUCGGGUAGACACUGAAUAAGGUUAGUGGCGGACGGGUGAGUAACGCGUAGAUAAUCUACCUUAAAGACCGGGACAACAGUUGGAAACGACUGCUAAUACCGGAUAAGCUCCUUGAGCGGCAUCGCUUAAGGAGGAAAGGAGGCCUCUUUAUAAUGCUCCCGCUUUUAGAUGAGUCUGCGUCUGAUUAGCUAGUUGGUGGGGUAACGGCUUACCAAGGCGACGAUCAGUAGUCGGCCUGAGAGGGUGACCGGCCACAUUGGGACUGAGACACGGCCCAAACUCCUACGGGAGGCAGCAGUGGGGAAUCUUCCGCAAUGGGCGAAAGCCUGACGGAGCAACGCCGCGUGAUCGAAUGAAGGCCUCCGGGUUGUAAAGAUCUGUUGAUAGGGACGAAUAAGCCAUGCGAAUAGUUUGGUGUAUGACGGUACCUAUUUAGAAAGCUCCGGCUAACUACGUGCCAGCAGCCGCGGUAAUACGUAGGGAGCAAGCGUUGUC